GGCAGAAGUUGAAUUAUAAGACACUACGACUUGCUGCGAACAGCAAAUGUAGCAAGACUCCAUACCCGAGCUAAUCAACAGAUUAGCCACCACAACAACUACAAACACAACGCGAAGGGCCUGCCCUAAACCAAUCCUUUAGCCGCGUCACAACAAAUGCCGAACACCACUAAGAGCAACAACUUCAGCCGGGCUCUCUUUGCCAACGCGCUACCCACCCUUAAAUGCCUAAGAGGAGACGGCAAGUAGGUAGCGGGACUCGGUCGGACCUGAACAAAGCCAUCCUCUUGGGGCACCGGCAGCAGCGUACAUAGCGCCAACGAAGAUCACUCGGACCAGCAGCAAGCACCGGAGAACCACAUCAUAUAACCGCCAAGCCAAGUCUCCGUCCACGAUGCUUUCAACAGAGUAACGACGUCAAGACGCCGCCAUCGCCGUUCCUACUACGGACCAAGGCUUUCGCCCGGAGACCACAACCCGAUCAAGAGGAGGAGAUGCCGACACACUUCGGCGACGCCUCCAAAGAGGGGAACGACACCCACAGGCGCCGUCGUCGCCAGCUCCAACCGAAGUUAAGCAGGAUUUUCAUCCAAACCAUCGCACACCUCCCACCCCUACCAUCGGAUUUGGCCAAACAGUCGAUGCGAGGCCACACCGCUGCUGCCACAGCACCUUGCCGUCAUGCUCCAGCUGUUGCAGGACACCGACCCCUCGCACGACCAGGAGCACGCAGACCAACCUCCAACUCCUACACGUAUGAAGAAGAAGCACCAGCACCACCACCACUCCAGCUUGGCCAGGAACCGCCGGCCACAGGCAGGGCUGGAGACGCCACUCCUCGCAGUCAGCAGCCAGCCGAGCCGCGGCUGCGCCCCGGGAGCACGCACGCGAGAGGCCAUCGCACCACCGCCGUCACGCGCCCGCGAACCGCAGCUCUCCCCGCCGCGAGACCCAGGAUCGAGCGCCCAGAUCCGGUCACGCAGCCACCAGCUCCCCAAGGCGCAGCCUUCCACCUCCACGCCGGCGACAGCAGGAGGCGCAUCGCGCGCCCCGGCCUCCGCAGCGUCUCCCGGCCGCCGCUCCAGGCCCAGGCCAAGAUCCGCUGCCGCCGAGAUCCCACCGCGCCACACCCUCCGACACCGCGCCGGCGCCCUGAGAAAGCUUCCACCCCUCACCUCCAGACCGUGCUCUUCCUCUCCCAGUGCUCCCCGCCGUGCGCCGCCACUCCAGAGACAUCCACUGCGCCGCCCGCUUGACAAAGCUUCCUCGCGCGAAGAAGGCCCGUCGGGGCGCGCCACCCCCGCCCGCCGCCACCACCGCCGGAGCCGACGGCGGCGGCGGCCAAGGAAUCGAGGAGUGGAGGGGUGCUUGGGGCGGCUAGGGUUUCCUCCGGAGCCGCCCGCGCGAGCGGCCCGGGAGGGAGAGGGGAAAAGUUUUUCUCACCACCACCCG
rnacentral:rRNA from 1 species